CGGGACUGCACCAACGACGUCCGCUGCCGCCGCUGCCUCGAGUCCGGCCACGAGUCGCGCGCCUGCGACGCCCGGCGCCGGGAAGACUCCCGGGCCGACUCCGGCCGCUCGGGCCCUGCUGUUCGCGGGGCUGCGCCUCGGGCCACAACGCCGUCGCCGCCACCACCUGCUGCUCCGGUGGUCCGCGCUCCCUUGGCUCCCGCCCCCGCACCGGUGCGGGUCAUCAUGUCGCACUCGGUUGAGAUGGAGGAGGCCGAGGUGGUUCUCACCCGCGCGAUGGUGGCCUCCAUUACUGGCAACAGGCCACCCGUGUCCGCUGCCGAGGUCGCCGACGUGCUCAUCUCCUCCCUCGAGCUCGUCGACGGUGACUUCACAGUUCACGUCCAUCACCCCGAAGAUUUUCUGAUCCUCUUCAACUCGCGCUCGACCAUGGAUCGCCUCAACGGUGAUCACUUCAUCCGCUCCCCGCGGUUCUCCCUCUCCGUGCGACCCUGGAGCAAGCUGGCUCAUGCGGGCUCCGGCCAGUUCGAGCACCGCGUCGAGCUUGAGCUCCGAGGCAUCCCCGCUCAGGCAUGGCACCUCUCGACGGCCGAGCAUAUUCUUGGGGAGAGCUGCUGGAUUGAGAGACUCCACCCCGGCACGCGUUCUAGGGCUGAUUUGGCCGUCUUCCGGCUGGCGGGGCGCACGCAUGAUCCUGCCAACAUCCGCCGCGCCGCCAUCCUGGAAAUCGUGGAACAGAUCCCCGCGCGCGUGGGCUCGGAGGCGCCUGCCAUCCGGACCCUCACCUACCCGAUUUCCAUCGCGCUGGCCCGUGCGGAGAGGAUCGGCGCCCCAGCUCCC
rnacentral:rRNA from 1 species